UCCAGACUCCUACGGGAGGCAGCAGUGGGGGAUAUUGCACAAUGGGGGAAACCCUGAUGCAGCGACGCCGCGUGGGUGAAGAAGUAUUUCGGUAUGUAAAGCCCUAUCAGCAGGGAAGAAAGAAGACGGUACCUGACUAAGAAGCCCCGGCUAACUACGUGCCAGCAGCCGCGGUAAUACGUAGGGGGCGAGCGUUAUCCGGAUUCACUGGGUGUAAAGGGAGCGUAGACGGCCGUGCAAGCCAGGAGUGAAAGCCCGGGGCCCAACCCCGGGACUGCUCUUGGAACUGUGCGGCUGGAGUGCGGGAGGGGCAGGCGGAAUUCCUGGUGUAGCGGUGAAAUGCGUAGAUAUCAGGAGGAACACCGGCGGCGAAGGCGGCCUGCUGGACCGCGACUGACGUUGAGGCUCGAAAGCGUGGGGAGCGAACAGGAUUAGAUACCCCGGUACU
rnacentral:rRNA from 1 species